GACGAACGCUGGCGGCGUGCUUAACACAUGCAAGUCGAACGGAAAGGCCCCUUUGGGGGUACUCGAGUGGCGAACGGGUGAGUAACACGUGAGUAACCUGCCCUUGACUUCGGGAUAACUUCAGGAAACUGGGGCUAAUACCGGCUAGGAAUCCUUGCUGCAUGGUGGGGGUUGGAAAGCUUCGGCGGUUUUGGAUGGACUCGCGGCUUAUCAGCUUGUUGGUGGGGUAGUGGCUUACCAAGGCUUUGACGGGUAGCCGGCCUGAGAGGGCGACCGGCCACAUUGGGACUGAGAUACGGCCCAGACGCCUACGGGAGGAAGAAGUGGGGAAGAUUGCACAAUGGGCGGAAGCCUGAUGCAGCAACGCCGCGGGCGGGAUGACGGCCUUCGGGUUGUAAACCGCGUUCAGCAGGGGCGAAGCUUGUGGUGACGGUACCUGCAGAAGAAGCACCGGCUAACUACGUG
rnacentral:rRNA from 1 species